CGUCUCACUAGUAUGUGGUCUGCUAUUUUUCUUCGUGACUCUUCAUUCUCGAUGUGGUCUCUCUGGCAUCUGCCUAUCUUCGUGACUCAUUCUUCUAUUUUUCUUCUUGGUUUAUGGUUUGUAACGAUCUGCCGUCGCUUUUCUCAUUUGUGGUCUGUGGCUCUUCGUGGUCUAUAAUGAUAACGGUAAGUGCUCUAACCUCUCUCUUUAAUCUGGUCUCUCUCUAAUCUCUUUCUCUCUCUCAUCGUUGUGUUUCAGUUGAUUAAUAUUUCCCACUCUCUAAAUCCCCUCAUUCCCGAUCUAAGCUCUAUUGCCCCCAAUUUUGCAGAUUCGAGCGAUAUCAGAUACUAUAGUGAAUAAUGGCUUAAUGAAUAUUCUAGUCGAGCUCCUCCGGACAAGGAUCUAGAGAUUAAUCAAGAAAGACAAAAAUGCUUUAAGAGAUACUUUUCUAACUUGGAGGACCGAAAUAAAAUAAAUUUGGAGUAUAUGGACUUUGCUAGUAUGAGUGGGGGUUUUAGAGAUUAUGAUGCCAUGCAAAAUCGAUGUUCUAUGGAGCCCAAAGCUUGGUGGGUGCUUCAUGGUGCUUGUGCACCUAUGCUUCAAAAGAUAGCAUUGUGACUUGUUUCACAACCUUCUUUUUCAUCUUGUGCUGAACGCAAUUGGAGUACUUAUUCUUUUGUGCAUUCUGUAAGAAGCAAUAAGAUGACUCCAAAAUGUGCAGAAGACUUGGUUUAUAUAUAUAGCAACCUUCGGCUCUUAUCAACAAAGACCACAAUAUACACAAGGGGAGAAUAGAAUGUGGGACAUUACUGGAGAUACAUUUAAUUUAAUACAUUUGAAGAUGUUAGAAUUCUUGAAGUUGCUACUCUUUCACUUGAUAAGCCUGAGGUGGAGUCAAAUAUUAUUCUAGAUGAAAAUGCUCCAUGAAGGAUGAUUUAUUGUGCAUCAUGUUCUGAAUGUUUUGCUUGCUGAUUUUAGCCAGAUUAAGACUGCUUACACUACGCAGAAUGAAAUUUAGGGUGUUAAUGACUUGAUUGAGAAACGUGUUCCUGAAGAAGACAAGUUAAAGAAAGAAAAUGAUGAGUCUGCUUUUUCUCUUCAUUCCAUUAAUGAUAAAACGAAAUUCUUCAACAAGAAUAAAGGGAAAUUCGAAAGGCACAAUUCUCCUGCUCCUAAACAAUCUCAGAAUUUCAAGAGGAAGGGUAAUAAUGAAAAAUAUGAAGGAGAAGUUAUGAAAUACUUUCACUGCAAGGAGGAGGGUCACAAGAGAAUCAAUUGUUACAAUGAGAAACAAAAGGGCAAAUGGUCUAACAAACCUAAGGAAACCAACCCUGAAGGAGGCGAAACUUAAAGUUGGGAACAAUGCUGGUGUGGAUAUGUUGCAUGUGAGCAAUGUUAUUUCGCUUCCAGAUUCUGAAUUAAUUUUUUUUGAAUAAUGUGUUUUAUGUUCCUGACUUUAGAAGGAAUUUGAUUUCUUUUUCUUUUCUUGACAACGAAGGAUAUUGUUUUAAUUUUGGAAAUAAAAGGGUGACAUUGCUAUUGGAAAUAUUAGAACUGAGUUCAUGUUGGCAUAUCCACUGACAAAGGGGUUGUGACCCGUAUUGUUCAAGGAAGAUGUGAUGAAUAUGGGUAUCUUUGAUUCUUU